UACGGAGGGUGCAAGCGUUAUCCGGAUUCACUGGGUUUAAAGGGUGUGUAGGCGGGCUUGUAAGUCAGGGGUGAAAUCCUACAGCUUAACUGUAGAACUGCCUUUGAUACUAUAAGUCUUGAAUAUUGUUGAGGUGGGCGGAAUACAUCAUGUAGCGGUGAAAUGCUUAGAUAUGAUGUAGAACACCGAUUGCGAAGGCAGCUCACUAAGCAAAUAUUGACGCUGAGGCACGAAAGCGUGGGGAUCAAAC
rnacentral:rRNA from 1 species